GACGUAGGGCGCGAGCGUUGUCCGGAUUUAUUGGGCGUAAAGAGCUCGUAGGCGGCUUGUUGCGUCGGCUGUGAAAACCCAUGGCUCAACCGUGGGCUUGCAGCCGAUACGGGCAGGCUAGAGUUCGGUAGGGGAGACUGGAAUUCCUGGUGUAGCGGUGAAAUGCGCAGAUAUCAGGAGGAACACCGGUGGCGAAGGCGGCAUCCUGGACCAACACUGACACUGAGGAGCGAAAGCCAGGGGAGCAAACGGG
rnacentral:rRNA from 1 species